AGCGAACGCUGGCGGCAGGCCUAACACAUGCAAGUCGAACGGAUCCUUCGGGAUUAGUGGCGGACGGGUGAGUAACACGUGGGAACGUGCCCUUUGGUUCGGAACAACUCAGGGAAACUUGAGCUAAUACCGGAUGUGCCCUUCGGGGGAAAGAUUUAUCGCCAUUGGAGCGGCCCGCGUCUGAUUAGCUAGUUGGUGAGGUAAAGGCUCACCAAGGCGACGAUCAGUAGCUGGUCUGAGAGGAUGAUCAGCCACAUUGGGACUGAGACACGGCCCAAACUCCUACGGGAGGCAGCAGUGGGGAAUCUUGCGCAAUGGGCGAAAGCCUGACGCAGCCAUGCCGCGUGAAUGAUGAAGGUCUUAGGAUUGUAAAAUUCUUUCACCGGGGACGAUAAUGACGGUACCGGGAGAAGAAGCCCCGGCUAACUUCGUGCCAGCCGCCGCGGUAAGAC
rnacentral:rRNA from 1 species